GCCAUAAGUUUGAGACAAAAUACUGUUACGGGAGUAGAGCAGCUCCUUACAGGAAUAGCUCAGUACGUAGGUUGUGUGCGUAGCGGGAGAGAGAGAAAGCGAUGAUGCUGUCGACCUGAGCAGAGUUACCUAGUUAGUUAGCAGUCAGCGGUGUAGCUGUGGACGUAGCGGUGUGAUGUUUGUGCACUUUAGGCUGUUUUUCAGUAAAUAAAUGCUACGACUCAUCAAGACCGAAGUUCCUCUGUGAUUCCCAACUACAGCCCAGACGAUGAGCCAGGAAAGAAAGUCCUUCUCUGAUGCGUCACUCACUGCUGGUAUUCCCAUUGAUGCUUUUUAAAAAAUCAUCUUCUAUUCUAUUCUCAUUUUUUACCAAACAAAGAUGGAUCUCUGCUCUCUUAACUGGACCUGAACCAUCAAGCAUUUCCCCGCUGCCCUCCCCCCUCAACUUUUCCCCUUUACAUCAUCUCAUAGCUGGAUGCUGCAGGACCUCCUGUGGACACACUCCAUGAGACUUGACUGAUGAUGAAAGUGAAGUGUGAACCUUCAUCAGAACAGAGGCGACAGAGAGAGAGACAGAGGGCUGAGGAAUAGGCGGCAGAGGAAGAUAGAGAAAGAAAAUGGAAAAGGGUAAAAAUGGAUUGAAUGAUCAGGUGACAUCAGUAAAGCUGGGGAUCAAAGGACACAGCAGUGGAGGGAAAGCACCAGGGACUGAAAAGAGAGUGGAGAAUACUGCAGGGUCUUUUGCUGCACUUUUGUACCUCAGUAUGUGAUGCACAUCCAGGUCAAAUCCCUCAGUCAAUGUAUUUCUGCAUCACGGUGUAGAAAAUUCUUUUGAUAGGUAACAAGUUUAUAUGAGCGACCCUGUUAUUUUAAACAUAUUUCUUAAAAAAAAAAAAAUGUUUUGAUUAGUUUUAACACCGAACAGCAACUGCUUAGUAACACCACUGGCUGACAGAUAAUUGUAGGGAAAACACCGGCAAACAAACGAAAAAGCCCCCCCCCCAUACAAUUCAUCCACCCACACAGUCCAACCCACCCUUCACGUGGCUUCGCAGUUCAGCUUGAGUUAUUAAUACCUCAGCAGUCACAGUCUGUCUUUCACAUACACUUUACAAUCAGCAGUUGUUGCCUCUCCUUCACAGCAUUUGGACAUAGAACAUACAUUUCUAAAACAAAGGCUGUGAAAAAAUGUCAAAUUAGAUAUAUAAAUUACCGGGUUAGAAAAAGGACCUUCCAUUGAUGUCAUGAGUAUCUAUGUAUGUGAACCCCAAUGCCAUCCUAUAAUAAAUUGGCCUACAUCUGCACACUUGCAUGUGUGUGCGUAUAAUGUGACAUGGAAUCUUCUUUGAAUGACAGCAUGCCCGAGUUGAUAAAUAGUAUCUAUGAAUCUUUUCAUACUAAUAGAAAUAAAAAGAUGUAGCAGGUAAACUAUGU